GACGAACGCUGGCGGCAGGCCUAACACAUGCAAGUCGAGCGAAGCCUUCGGGCUUAGCGGCGGACGGGUGAGUAACGCGUGGGAACGUGCCCUUUGCUACGGAAUAGCCCCGGGAAACUGGGAGUAAUACCGUAUGUGCCCUUCGGGGGAAAGAUUUAUCGGCAAAGGAUCGGCCCGCGUUGGAUUAGGUAGUUGGUGGGGUAAUGGCCUGCCAAGCCGACGAUCCAUAGCUGGUUUGAGAGGAUGAUCAGCCACACUGGGACUGAGACACGGCCCAGACUCCUACGGGAGGCAGCAGUGGGGAAUCUUAGACAAUGGGGGGAACCCUGAUCUAGCCAUGCCGCGUGAUCGAUGAAGGCCUUAGGGUUGUAAAGAUCUUUCAGUGGGGAAGAUAAUGACUGUACCCACAGAAGAAGCCCCGGCUAACUCCGUGCCAGCCGCCGCAGUAAAAC
rnacentral:rRNA from 1 species